GAUGAACGCUGGCGGCGUGCCUAAUACAUGCAAGUCGAGCGAACAGAUUAGGAGCUUGCUCCUCUGACGUUAGCGGCGGACGGGUGAGUCACACGUGGAUAACCUACCUAUAAGACUUGGAUAACUUCGGGAAACCGGAGCUAAUACCGGAUAAUAUAUUGAACCGCAUGGUUCAAUAGUGAAAGACGGUUUUGCUGUCACUUAUAGAUGGAUCCUCGCCGCAUUAGCUAGUUGGUAAGGUAACGGCUUACCAAGGCAACGAUGCGUAGCCGACCUGAGAGGGUGAUCGGCCACACUGGAACUGAGACACGGUCCAGACUCCGAAGGGAGGCAGCAGUAGGGAAUCUUCCGCAAUGGGCGAAAGCCUGACGGAGCAACGCCGCGUGAGUGAUGAAGGUCUUCGGAUCGGAAAAGUCGGUUAUUAGGGAAGAACAAAUGUGUAAGUAACUAUGCACGUCUUGACGGUACCUAAACAGAAAGCCACGGCUAACUACGUG
rnacentral:rRNA from 1 species